GGGGGCGAACUGGGUUCGACCGGAUAGUCUGAAGCAGAAGUGGCGUGCCGUGGUUGGUCAGUUGGCCACGUUAAAAGCUGACCACAAUUUUAGUUGCCGAGAGUAAUCUCGCUCUGGCCGCCUAACUAGGCGUCCCCGGUUGCGACCUUUCGUCGGAGAGGGUCAAAAACCGGUUGCCAAUUCCGACUCGUCGAGCGUCACUGAUCGGCACGCGCUCGAUUAAAUCCUGUUCCGAUCUAGCAACGCUGACACCCGGUCGACAGGGGGUCGCCGCGCGAAACUUAAAUUAGUCGACUACGCGCGUAGAAGCUUCUGUGAAAAUAUCGCGGGACGCGGGUUCGAUUCCCGCCGCCUCCACUU
rnacentral:tmRNA from 1 species